CCUACGGGAGGCUGCAGUGGGGAAUAUUGGGCAAUGGGCGCAAGCCUGACCCAGCAACGCCGCGUGAAGGAAGAAGGCUUUCGGGUUGUAAACUUCUUUUAUGAGGGACGAAACAAAUGACGGUACCUCAUGAAUAAGCCACGGCUAACUACGUGCCAGCAGCCGCGGUAAUACGUAGGUGGCAAGCGUUAUCCGGAUUUACUGGGUGUAAAGGGCGUGUAGGCGGGACUGCAAGUCAGAUGUGAAAUUCCAGGGCUCAACCCUGGACCUGCAUUUGAAACUGUGGUUCUUGAGUGAUGGAGAGGCAGGCGGAAUUCCCUGUGUAGCGGUGAAAUGCGUAGAUAUAGGGAGGAACACCAGGGCGAAGGCGGCCUGCUGGACAUUAACUGAUGCUGAGGCGCGAAAGCGUGGGGAGCAAACAGGAUUAGAUACCCUAGUAGUC
rnacentral:rRNA from 1 species